AAAAUCUUUAAAAAAUCAGGGUACUGUUUCAGAAUUGGGACAAAUGCGGAAUUUUUUUUUAAACAAUAUUAGAAACGGUGAGGGUCGGACGUUGGUUGGUUUACAUGGACUUGCCCAUAUGCUCGUGCAUGUGAAUAUAAAUCGUCACAAAAAGUUGUUUGCGCAGAAUGCGUAUCGAACCGUCGAAGAUACAAUUUACUCUCCCGAAAAAAUUGCGAUAAAUGUACCGAGUUAAUUGGCUCCUAAAAUUGCUACGUACUAGCUGUUUGUCACGCAAGCGCUGAAAUAAGAUAUUUCGAACGUAACCGCCAAGAUUAGAUAUUUCUGACAUAACUCCUAAGAUAAGCUGUUCCUAACGUAACUGAUGAGAUAAGCCCUUUGGCUUAGCAGGUAUCGAUCUACGAAAAUUUUCAAUUAUACAUAAAUUACAUUAUAGCGAAAAUAGUUGGCGAUCCGUCAUUAUCAAGUAUCGGGGGCAAAACGAGAUCAGCUAAUUAGCGACACUUCUUUGAAACGAUUAGAAAAGAAUAUUCCACAAAAGUAUGUCUCAGCAAACGCACGUAUGCACCAACAAUAUGUUACGUAGGUUUGUGAAAGACAAGAAAUGCAACGACAUGCUGGCUUAUUAGUAACAAUAAACUAAUUUUAACGUUGCCUCUAAACAAAACAUGCAGCGAGAAAGGUGUUAAGGCCUUCUUACAAAGAAAAUGAACCAUCAAGAUACAUUAUGCACGUAUGAUAGGGUCAAUCAAUGGCGCGAUCAAUGUGAUUCCCUUACCAGCAGCGCGAGGAGUAAAUCAUCGCAGUUUGAUUUCGAUCUUGCUGCCUGUUCGGAUUUCAACCUUCGAUUUAAUUUCAUUCGCUUCUUAAUACCACAGCAAUAGUUGUUCUCUUUUAAUAAUGAGUAUUUGUGACGUCUUAGGUAUAAUUAUUCACCUCAUGAUUUUAUCCCGCAUACACAUGUGUAUUAUAACCUAUCGCACAUAGUAUCGAAUAUGAGAGUGCGCAAUACGUAUUUAUGACUAUUAACAAUUUAAUAUAUUUAUAUUUCUACUACCUCCGGUAUGAUCGAACCUACCGUGAGGAAUUCGGUACCUCUAGGUCGUAAAAAUUUUUACGUUCAGUCGCUUUAGUAUCUAUCAUUGACUGAAAAUUGCAAAGGUCGGUGGGUCAAGGAUUGUUCCUACGUACAAGAUCCGGCAUUUAGAAUUUCCAAAUUCUGAGUUUAAAUUCGUAAUCAUGCAGCUACUCUAAACACUGACGCUGCGAUCUUGAAGUUUCGAAUGAACAAGAGGCGAGAAGUACUGUGCGUCCUAAAUAGGUUGAAUAACUAGCUUUCUUUGAGUCAUAGCUUCAUCAAUAUGCGCCAUGGAGAAAUCUCACUUAUAUCCCUUAAUAUCAUACAUCAUCAUCAUACAUGAUGCAUCAUACAUAGUAUUACAGUCCGAAACCAAAUUUCGGACGUUCGGAUGUUCGGAUGUUCAGAAAGUGACGUCACCCAAAAUUUUUUUUCUCCUGACGUCAUCGAUAUAUAGUACUCGACAGCGAAAAUCAGCUAGCCGAAUCACUCAGUCUGGAAACAACCGCGCAGUAGAUCGGACGUAUGAGAACCGCGCUCCGCAGAUUUCGAGCACCGGGUACUAUACCUCCUGGAUCCUGCGCCCCGGGUCCGCUUCCUGGUGCAACUCGAGUUCCAGGACAAGUGUUCCGUGGUUUCUACGCUCCAGGUCCUUUAUCUGGUGAAUUUCGACCUCCAGGAGAAAUGCUCCGUGGUUCCUCGCUAUAUUCCAUAUUCUUCCAGAUAUAGCCGAAGAAUUAGAUCUUGACAUUCUGAUAAACGAAUCCAUCAACCUCAACAACUGUAGAAAGGAAACUUUCGGUACAUCAAGGUCUCGUGCCGUGCACCAGCCGGAGCUACGAUACUCCUUUUACAACAGCCGUGCUGACAAAAACGGGAGUGCUUCUUCACUUUACGCGUCAUCCUCCGUCCGCGGAGAUGGAACCGUCCUCCGAAAUAGCGGAAUGGUACCGUGGAAGAUCGAUCUUUAUUACCAGAGCAACAGGAUUCGUUGGAAAAGUGUUGGUCGAGAAGCUUUUGCGUUCCUGCCCGAACAUCGGAACGAUCUUUUUGUUGAUCCGUGACCAGAAGGUCACACGAAAAAUAAAAUAUUCACAAUGGAGUUAGUCCCUACUCGGUGUUAUUAGCUUCAAUUAAGUUUGGUUCUAAAAUGUUCGCAAAUAAUUUGCGGUUUUUUCGAAAAUGUAAUAAAUCUCAGAUUAGUCAAGUCCAGUAUGCUGGUUUGUACCUACAUCGUUAGUACAAAUCUAUUCAUUGUCAGUUAGUGGAAGGAAUUUGACCACGAAUAUCUCUUUUCCGUGCUUUGCAACUAGGAUAUUGUAAAACACGCGUAUGUGAAAUAUCGUGAGAAUAAAUUUUGAAUUCUACUUUCAAGAACACUGUAUUGGAAUCGAACCUUACGUUUCAGAUGGAUAUUAUUUCAGUUCACACCGUCCAUCAUCUCAAAACUUUAACGGGUCAACUGGUAUUUCAUCAUGUACUCGUAUACGUCUAAAAAAACAAACCGUUCCGAUCUGGUAUUGUAUAAUGUAUAAUUCGAAUAACUUAUUCAAAUUUUAACCGAUUCCCAUAAAAAUUGAUGUACAACCGUUUUUUGGAAUGCUGUAUCCAAAUAUAGCCUCGGAAUGAUGAAAUUCAAAAUGCGAGUCUCAAAGUGGCGUUAGUAAGAAUGGUAAUUUUUUCAGUAACUUUGAUAAAAUUCGAAUUUGUGGCCUGCGAGUGGUGUCAUUGGAUAAGUAUCUCUUUAACCGUUUCCAGUUAUUACUCCCGUAGUUGACUGGUGAAGUCACGGAAAAAUCGGCGAACGAAUUUCAGGCACAAGUCGAUAACGCAAAUCCAUAAUGGCUAUCCGUUACUCGGCAAGCCUUUACUCAAUUAGUCUCGGAAAUCGGUCGCGAGGAUAUAAGCAGCGCUUAACGUUCCACAUCCAGGCCACGAAUUCUCCAACACCCUCGUGUUUCUUUGGCAACAUCGUCGCAACAAUCCACGCAAAUGCUAAAAAUUCGAAAUCGUCAGACGGUCUCUGCCGUGCCAGGUCGCCAGAACAAGAGUGAUUUCAAAAUUGACGACCUGCCGCAACACCGAUCUCGGUACGCUGCUUCCUACGUGACGUCAUACCCGCAAGAAUAGGCAACAAUUGAUCCGUCAUCGAUCUCGUAGAUUGCGCAACUCGACGGGCGCCGUUUUUAAUAUAAUAAUACUGUAAUAUAAUAAACACGUUGUUUUAUUCA
rnacentral:lncRNA from 1 species